rnacentral:lncRNA from 1 species
AGAAAGAUAUGGUUCUCAAGGCCUGGAGAGGCAAACCAUAUCCAGAAAAGGUCCCUGAUGAUAGAACUCCCUGAGUAUUCUUGCAGAAAUGAAUAUCCACCAGGCUUCAUUGUUUUUCUUUUUUUUUCUUUUCUUUCUUUUCUUUUCUUUUUUUUUUUGAGAUGCAGUCUGUCUCUGUCGCCCAGGCUGGAGUGCAAUGGCCCGAUCUUGGCUCAAUGCAAGCUCCGCCUCCCGGGUUCACGCCAUUCUCCUGCCUCAGCCUCCCAACUACUCAGGAGGCUGAAGCAGGAGAAUUGCUUGAACCCAGGAGGCGGAGGUUGCAGUGAGCCAAGAUGGCGCCACCGCACUCCAGCCUGGCAACAGAGUGUGACUACGUCUCAAAAAAAGAAAAAAGAAAAAAGAAAGAAAGAAAAGAAAAAAAAUUUCAGGGAUAUUUAUGUAGUGACCUGUUAUUUAAUUUUUCAAUAAUAUAAAUCUCAGUUUCAAGAGAAAGAAAUUUGAAACAAACUCUUACGAUUUUCUUUCUCCUGAAAAUUAUUCCAGAACUUAAAGAAAUGAAGAAACAGCACAGAGUAAGUACAUUAGCUUUAUAACUAGUCUAUUCAACAUACCAUCUUGUCUAGUAGUAGUAAACUACUAAAAACAGUCUCCUGAGUGGAAAAAAUAUAGUUUUUUGUCUAUUUAACAAGUAAUAGCAUCAGUGUUGUCCUGCAUGUUCUCAUUAUUUUCUCCAAAUAAAUUGGCUCAAUAUGCUGCUAAGUAUUACUAUUUAUGUUUAUUUUGUAAUUCUAUAUCUUGUCUUUCCUGUUUCAUCUGUAAACAGGCAAUUAUUGCCUCAGUGUGUAUUUUGAUACAUUUUCUUUCUAAAUCUAUUGUCCAACAUCUUGCAUAUAAAAUCUGGCUUUUCUCUCAUAUCCCAAAAUCACAGGUCACAUAGUCUCAGUGCUAAAAGAGUUAUAAGAACAACUGCUUUAUUUCACUCCCAUCUCUGUGAACACAAAACUUCAAUCUCUAAAGUAUUUUGUAUCUAUUUAUAACACUAUGUUCCUGGCUUAUUGUUAUAUUAUUUCAUUAUUAGUUCUUAAAAACUUAGCAAGGUGCUGAAUAAUUUUGUGAAAUAUUCCAUGGAGAACCACCAUUAAAAUAGUGAUUAUUUUAA